rnacentral:rRNA from 1 species
AUUGAACGCUGGCGGCAGGCCUAACACAUGCAAGUCGAACGAGUGGCGGACGGGUGAGUAAUGUCUGGGAAACUGCCCGAUGGAGGGGGAUAACUACUGGAAACGGUAGCUAAUACCGCAUACCAUCGGAUGUGCCCAGAUGGGCUUAGCUAGUAGGUGGGGUAACGGCUCACCUAGGCGACGAUCCCUAGCUGGUCUGAGAGGAUGACCAGCAACACUGGGACUGAGACACGGUCCAGACUCCGACGGGAGGCAGCAGUGGGGAAUAUUGCACAAGGGGCGAAAGGCUGAUGCAGCCAUGCCGCGUGUAUGAAGAAGGCCUUCGGGUUGUAAAGUACUUUCAGCGAGGAGGCGUUAAGCGCAGAAGAAGCACCGGCUAACUCCGUGCCAGCAGCCGCGGUAAUAC